rnacentral:rRNA from 1 species
CGCUUUCACUCCUACGGGAGGCAGCAGUGGGGAAUAUUGCACAAUGGGCGCAAGCCUGAUGCAGCCAUGCCGCGUGUAUGAAGAAGGCCUUCGGGUUGUAAAGUACUUUCAGCAGUGAGGAAGGCGGUUACGUUAAUAGCGUGCUCGUUUGACGUUUAGCUGCAGAAGAAGCACCGGCUAACUCCGUGCCAGCAGCCGCGGUAAUACGGAGGGUGCGAGCGUUAAUCGGAAUUACUGGGCGUAAAGCGCAUGCAGGUGGUUUGUUAAGUCAGAUGUGAAAGCCCGGGGCUCAACCUCGGAAUUGCAUUUGAAACUGGCAGACUAGAGUACUGUAGAGGGGGUAGAAUUUCAGGUGUAGCGGUGAAAAUGCGUAGAGAUCUGAAGGAAUACCGGUGGCGAAGGCGGCCCCCUGGACAGAUACUGACACUCAGAUGCGAAAGCGUGGGGAGCAAACAGGAUUAGAUACCCUGGUAG